GUGCCAGUAGCCGCGGUAAUACGUAGGGUGCGAGCGUUAAUCGGAAUUACUGGGCGUAAAGCGUGCGCAGGCGGUUAUGUAAGACAGAUGUGAAAUCCCCGGGCUCAACCUGGGAACUGCAUUAGUGACUGCAUAGCUGGAGUACGGCAGAGGGGGAUGGAAUUCCGCGUGUAGCAGUGAAAUGCGUAGAUAUGCGGAGGAACACCGAUGGCGAAGGCAAUCCCCUGGGCCUGUACUGACGCUCAUGCACGAAAGCGUGGGGAGCAAACAGGAUUAGAUACCCUGGUAGUCCACGCCCUAAACGAUGUCAACUGGUUGUUGGGUCUUCACUGACUCAGUAACGAAGCUAACGCGUGAAGUUGACCGCCUGGGAGUACGGCCGCAAGGUUAAACUCAAAGGAAUUGACGGGACCCGCACAAGCGGUGGAUGAUGUGGUUUAAUUCGAUGCAACGCGAAAAACCUUACCCACCUUUGACAUGUACGGAAGUUACCAGAGAUGGUUUGGUGCUCGAAAGAAGAACCCGUAACACAGGUGCUGCAUGGCUGUCGUCAGCUCGUGUCGUUAAAUGUUGGGUUAAGUCCCGCAACGAGCGCAACCCUUGUCAUUAGUUGCUACGAAAGGGCACUCUAAUGAGACUGCCGGUGACAAACCGGAGGAAGGUGGGGAUGACGUCAAGUCCUCAUGGCCCUUAUAGGUGGGGCUACACACGUCAUACAAUGGCUGGUACAGAGGGUUGCCAACCCGCGAGGGGGAGCUAAUCCCAUAAAACCAGUCGUAGUCCGGAUCGCAGUCUGCAACUCGACUGCGUGAAGUCGGAAUCGCUAGUAAUCGCGGAUCAGAAUGUCGCGGUGAAUACGUUCCCGGGUCUUGUACACACCGCCCGUCACACCAUGGGAGCGGGUUCUGCCAGAAGUAGUUAGCCUAACCGCAAGGAGGGCGAUUACCACGGCAGGGUUCGUGACUGGGGUGAAGUCGUAACAAGGUAGCC
rnacentral:rRNA from 1 species